rnacentral:misc_RNA from 1 species
GAGGAAUCAAAGACAGCUAUGAUUCA